rnacentral:rRNA from 1 species
UUUAAUUAUAAAGUAAUUUAAGAUUAAAUUACCUUUUGCAUCAUGAUUAAAUGAUUAUAAUUCUAAUAUUAGAACUUUCGAAAAUGUGUGAUCUUAUAUAAAAUUAAGUUGAUUGGGUAAUUCAUAUAAAUUUUAUAUAAGAAGUGAUAAAUUACACGUACACAUUUAUAUCUAAUUGGAGUGGUUUUAUUAAACAUUAUUAUUUUAUUAUAAUAAUGCCUUUUAUUUGUUGUUUAAUAAUAAACUUAUUAAUGGAUUAAUAUUAUCCUAAAUCUUGUUAUAAAGUAUAUAUUAAUUUAAUUAACAAUUUAUUAAAUCCUCCCAUAUUAAUAUAUUUAUGUUGAUUAUGUUAUAAAUAAGUAUAAAAAUAAAAUAAUUUUUUCUCGUAGUAAUCCGAACUGUUUAUUAAAAACAUUUCCUAAUUUAAUAUUUAUUAGGUAUCCCCUGCUCAUCGUUGUUUUAACCAACAAGAAGCCGCAGUAUUUUGACUGUGCUAAGGUAGCAUAAUUAAUUGCCUCUUAAAUAGAGGAUUGUCUGAAUGGGGUAAUUGGGUUUAAUUUAAAAUUUAUUUUAGAAGAAAUUAAUUUGUAGUUGCAGAAUACUACAUUAUAAUAUAAGACGGAAAGACCCUAAGAGCUUAAUUUCUUUUAUUUUGGGCAAAGCUAUAUAUUUAUUUAGUUUAUAAACCUUUUGGGAUAAAAUCAAAGUUACCUUAGGGAUAACAGGGUUAGAUGUAUUUAGAGUUCUUAUCAAUAUACAUAAUUGCCACCUCGAUGUUGACUUAAAUUUACUCUAUUGUGUAGAAGCUUUAGUAGUAAGCCUGUUCGGCUUUUAAAAUUUUUCAUGAGUUGAGUUAAGACCGGUGUAAGCCAGGUCGGUUCUUAUCUAUAACUGGUCUGCUAUAGUACGAAAGGAUUUAGUAGUAAAUAUUUUAUUAAAAUUUUUAUA